GGGGACGUGGCGGAAUUGGUAUACGCUUACGCUUGAGGUGCGUACGCCUUUAUGGCUUGAGGGUUCGAAUCCCUCCGUCCGCA
rnacentral:tRNA from 1 species